rnacentral:rRNA from 1 species
UUUAAAGGGAGCGUAGGCCGGAGAUUAAGCGUGUUGUGAAAUGUAGACGCUCAACGUCUGCACUGCAGCGCGAACUGGUUUCCUUGAGUAUGCACAAAGUGGGCGGAAUUCGUGGUGUAGCGGUGAAAUGCUUAGAUAUCACGAAGAACUCCGAUUGCGAAGGCAGCUCACUGGAGCGCAACUGACGCUGAAGCUCGAAAGUGCGGGUAUCGAACAGGAUUAGAUACCCUGGUAGUCCGCACGGUAAACGAUGGAUGCCCGCUGUUGGUCUGAACAGGUCAGCGGCCAAGCGAAAGCAUUAAGCAUCCCACCUGGGGAGUACGCCGGCAACGGUGAAACUCAAAGGAAUUGACGGGGGCCCGCACAAGCGGAGGAACAUGUGGUUUAAUUCGAUGAUACGCGAGGAACCUUACCCGGGCUUGAAUUGCAGAGGAAGGAUUUGGAGACAAUGACGCCCUUCGGGGCCUCUGUGAAGGUGCUGCAUGGUUGUCGUCAGCUCGUGCCGUGAGGUGUCGGCUUAAGUGCCAUAACGAGCGCAACCCCUCUCCUUAGUUGCCAUCAGGUCAUGCUGGGCACUCUGGGGACACUGCCACCGUAAGGUGUGAGGAAGGUGGGGAUGACGUCAAAUCAGCACGGCCCUUACGUCCGGGGCUACACACGUGUUACAAUGGCAGGUACAGAGAGAUGGUGUUCUGCAAAGCGCAUCAAAUCCUUAAAGCCUGUCUCAGUUCGGACUGGGGUCUGCAACCCGACCCCACGAAGCUGGAUUCGCUAG